CAGUCGCCACGGGAAUACGGAGGGGGCUAGCGUUGUUCGGAAUUACUGGGCGCAAAGCGCACGUAGGCGGCUUUGUAAGUCAGAGGUGAAAGCCUGGAGCUCAACUCCAGAACUGCCUUUGAGACUGCAUCGCUUGAAUCCAGGAGAGGUCAGUGGAAUUCCGAGUGUAGAGGUGAAAUUCGUAGAUAUUCGGAAGAGCACCAGUGGCGAAGGCGGCUGACUGAACUGGUAUUGACGCUGAGGUGUGAAAGCGUGGGGAGCAAACAGGAUUAGAUACCCGGGUAGUCCCUGUCUCUUAUAA
rnacentral:rRNA from 1 species